UACGAAGGGGGCUAGCGUUGCUCGGAAUCACUGGGCGUAAAGGGUGCGUAGGCGGGUCUUUAAGUCAGGGGUGAAAUCCUGGAGCUCAACUCCAGAACUGCCUUCGAUACUGCGGGUCUCGAGUCCGGGAGAGGUGAGUGGAACUGCGAGUGUAGAGGUGAAAUUCGUAGAUAUUCGCAAGAACACCAGUGGCGAAGGCGGCUCACUGGCCCGAUACUGACGCUGAGGCACGAAAGCGUGGGGAGCAAACAGG
rnacentral:rRNA from 1 species